rnacentral:rRNA from 1 species
AGUGAACGCUGGCGGUAGGCCUAACACAUGCAAGUCGAACGGCAGCACAGUAAGAGCUUGCUCUUACGGGUGGCGAGUGGCGGACGGGUGAGGAAUACAUCGGAAUCUACUUUUUCGUGGGGGAUAACGUAGGGAAACUUACGCUAAUACCGCAUACGACCUACGGGUGAAAGCAGGGGAUCUUCGGACCUUGCGCGAUUGAAUGAGCCGAUGUCGGAUUAGCUAGUUGGCGGGGUAAAGGCCCACCAAGGCGACGAUCCGUAGCUGGUCUGAGAGGAUGAUCAGCCACACUGGAACUGAGACACGGUCCAGACUCCUACGGGAGGCAGCAGUGGGGAAUAUUGGACAAAGGGCGCAAGCCUGAUCCAGCCAUACCGCGUGGGUGAAGAAGGCCUUCGAGUUUUAAAGCCCUUUUGUUGGGAAAGAAAAGCAGCAGGUUAAUACCCCGCUGUUCUGACGGUACCCAAAGAAUAAGCACCGGCUAACUUCGUG